GUUAAAUCACCUGUUCACGUACGAUCACCGAAGUUAAGCAACGUCGAGCCUAGUCACUACUUAGAUGGAUGACCGCUUGAGAGUACCAGGUGCUGUCAGC